rnacentral:lncRNA from 12 species
CUGUGAGAACAUUCACUCCGGAUGAGGCAAAUAGAUUCUGUGUGCGUUCCUGAAUGCUUGGUUAUUCAUGAAGGGAUGGGCCUGUGACCCCGAUAAGAUGAGGAGGGCUGCCGGAUUGCUUUGGGCAAAGCCUCUUCGGUCUCAAGAAAAACACACACUCCCUUGUGUUCCAUUGCUGCUGUGGCAAGAUCUGACCCAGAGAACUGCUUUAGUGACCAAGCUAAAAUCGAAGCCAAUAACAAGGAAUAGUAGAGAAACUGUUCACCAGACACCUGUGGAAGAUAGCAAGACCGAUUUUAUUGGAGCUACUGCAGUAGAGGAGAGAGAUUUUAUAUAAAACUGAGCUCUGCUCCAAAUAUAGCAAAGACAACUGGGAAUUUAGAGCUGAUGAGCGGGUGGGGGUGGAGAUCAGUGGCUAGAAAACUAUUAAGAAGAGCCUGAUUAGACAUCUUGCAUGAGGGAUUCUUGCUAAACUGACUUAGCAGGAUUCUUUGCUACCAUUGGGGUCAGCAGGCCAAGGGCAGGGUAGCUGGCCAAGGUUGAGCCCCAGUGGAGAAGAGAGCUCAAGGGGGGCCUGCCUAAGGUUUGGUCCAGGAAAGAGUCUUCAUUGGAGGAUGGUGGUGGGG